GACGAACCGAGCGAACGUUAUUCGGAAUCACUGGGCUUAAAGGGCGCGUAGGCGGGCGGCCAAGUCAGGGGUGAAAGCCCCCAGCUCAACUGGGGAAGUGCCUCUGAUACUGGUCAUCUCGAGGGAGAUAGGGGCGUGCGGAACUUCCGGUGGAGCGGUGAAAUGCGUAGAUAUCGGAAGGAACACCGGUGGCGAAAGCGGCGCGCUGGAUCUCUUCUGACGCUGAGGCGCGAAAGCCAGGGGAGCGAACCGG
rnacentral:rRNA from 1 species